rnacentral:lncRNA from 1 species
GGGGGGGGGGGGCACUCCGUCGGAUUCAUAUUCCUCCCCUCCCUAAUAAACCACACAGGUGGAUGUAACCACCCGGAUCUCGCCAGCUAGCCGGAUUCCCUAUUGUUGCAGGCUUGCUGCCAGGCUCCAGGGUAUAAAAUCCAGCUGUUACUGCUCCUAUCCAACCACCGCAUAUAGGAGUCGCAUCUACCGAUGAGCGCCACCAUGACAACACGGGAGAAAUAGCCGCCGCACCCAGAACCCAUCCUCACCAGCUCCCAGAAUCAGGGGUUUGGUCUGGGGUCUUCGUCGGAGUUCGCGGGAGCACGAGGUGCACUCGCCAGGCACGACUGAUGGCUGGAGCGGAGGGAAUUCUUCACCGGAGCAUGGACGUCGUGGUGGUGUCAUGUGUCGUCGUGGGAGGACUCCCCCACUACACCGCUGCCUGUAAGAUGCCUUUACAUGAGUUUGUGUUGUCCUUCGUUACAUGUAGCGCCCUUUGUAUUAGGGGUAUGUGACCUAUGAUGCCGGGGCGCUGCCUCAUUAUCGUGUUGCCAUCGCGGGGUGGGCGCACGCCACUGGAGUGCAAGGUCGGAGCGAGAAUAAGAGGUUAGAGUCGUUGAUCUCCUUCUGGGCGACUCUGAUUAGAACGUGGAGAUACCCCUUUGUGCAUUAAACCGUAGUCGUCGGGUUUGGAUCGGAGGGAUAGGAUAACGUUUUGGCUAGAUCAGAUCUUGGUCAUAAGAUGGAGCGUUAGUGGAUUAGAUUAGAUCUCUCCCUAAUAAAAUCUAGAUUGUAUAUUCAAGAUCGGACGACCCUGAUUAGAAAUUGAGAUAAUGUUUUGAUCCGAUGAAAACUGGGCAUCAAUCGGGGAUCUAGCAGCUGGAAAUCCAUACCAGUUCAACGAGGGGAUCUAAUUCGCGCCUUUAGUUGAAGAUCUAGCGGCCGAGACACGCUCAUACCCCUUUGGCUAUUGUUGUUUUGCGUAAGAGACCAUGCGUUCCUCAAAAAGCAACCCGCAGUCCACCCCAGUGCAAAGACUCUCACGAAUUAGUCCUAAGAAUUCUGAUUUAGACCCUACAGUCUCCAAAAAUAUAAACUGCCAUCCUUUUUAGAAAUAAAAUAAAUAAAAAAUCAUAGGAAAUUCCCUGGAAAUCAUUUCUUAGGUAUAAAAUAAAUUUAAAAAUAUCUAGAAACUUAGAAAACUCAUAACUAUCACGUUUUAACUCUGAUUUUAGUAGUUCUCGAACCUGCAAUCUCGUAGUGACGUGUAAAAUAUUUCUAUAUAGUUUGUUUCCAUGCUUUGGUGUAAUGUUAUUGUAUCCCUUGUUUGCUUAUUUGUAUGUAUUGCUACCUACUAGAAGCGGGGUUGCAAGGAACCUGAAGCCCAACUCGGAGAAGUACCUGGUGCUACACCAAAAAGACAAGUUGUGUCCUUGAUCACAUUUUUUGACCUAAGAAUAUUUAUGUUUAUAAUAAUCACCAUGGCAUGCUUAGGUUAAAUUGAUGGGACCUAAUAGGUUACCUAGUUUUGUUUACCCUACACCUUGCAUACAAAUGAAUUAUUGGGUAGUCCUGCUAUUGCUUUACCUAGUUUUGGGAGUAAUAACAUUUAUGAAUUAUCAUCAUGUUCUAUUAUAUUGCUAGAUUAUUUAUUAUUGUGCUUGAUAAGAUCAUUUUGUUAAUUGGAAUAUGGAGCGAUCACCUGAGACAACAGUUUAACCACAACGACUAUAUGGCUUUGGUCUUGGCCAAUUAAUUAGGAAAGGUAGUGUAGGAUAAUCCAUUCUCGAUAGGGGCAAGUGGGGAGGCAUCGCUGCAGAGUAUAGUGAUAGAUGUAAUUACGACGAUGGGGUUACAGACUAUGAAAAAAGGCAUAUGCUUCCUUGGUCCAAAACGAUAGCGGGUUUUCUCAUACUAGUGGAACUUUGUAAAGGCCUUGUAGUGUACCCUCGCCAACUCACCUUGGAAGUGUUUAAGGGUCCGUACAAUCCUGGGCAAAAAGGGAACACAACUUGUGGGUAUAGACGUGCAACCUCUGCAGAGUAUAAAACUGGUAUAUCAGUCGUGCUCAUAGGCAUGAGCGGCUCGGGCCCUCACAUGAGUAAUUUAUGAAAUUAAAUUUAACAUGCCAUGCAUUGCAUUGUGCGAGUUAUUAAAUGUGAUCUCUUAUUUAAUUAGGAUAAUAUUUACUUAUAGUUAGUAAUUGCUAAUAAAAAUUUGACCAUCUUAUUUAAAAGUAAUGCUCAGCCUUAACCAUUUUUCUUAGUAAGCCUUACGCUACACAUGAGCCCCAACCGUAUGUGAGCUCAUACACAUUAUUCCCCACACUUGCUAAGCGAUGACCAUAUGGGAGCUCACCCUUGUUAUAAUCACACUAGAAUAAGAACAUGUACCGCUGGAUAAGCAUGAAUGAUGCUAUGAUGAGUUCAGAAAGGUCUAGGCCAUCGUCUCCUAGUUAACUAUGGUUGUGGAGGAUAGUUGCAAUCAUAUGAUGUAAUCUAUUUAGUUAUUUUUGUACGGAAGUUCUAUUAUAUAAUAUAGAUGUGACAUUGAGUUCUAUACCAUGAGCCAUCAUAUGUGUGAAACUUGAUCCUAGCACAUAUUUGAUAUGCAUCUUGAUUUGCCCUAAAAUCUGUGUGUGACAAGGUCCCCUGCCACACACAACGUAACCAAGUUCCCAUUCUACGAAUGUCAUCGCCAAUCCAUUGACGGGUCCAGUUGCGGCACAUGUUGUUGGGUCUCUUGUCAUUGAUGAGGUCCGGAUGCACCAUGUGUACUAGGACUUCUACUAGAUCCGCUGGCCCCCAAGAAGACCUCCUAUGCCAACUGCUCUACCAAGCACAAUGGGGUCCAAGUGCAUCACAUGCCCUAGGUGCCCGGUGCCUCUAAUGGGCUCCGGGCACACCACGUGUGUGCCCACACACACGUCAUAGUUGGUCAAGUGUUUGUGCAGUCAUAGUGUUGUUAUGCAUAUAUGACACAAGAGACAAGACUAUGUGCACAUCUUGCGAGCAUCCUAGGCAUGACACCAGUGCAUUACUGUGGGCGCAUGCAUGGACGACAUCCACCACGUCUGGUGAUGACAUCCACCCAUAAUGUGCAGCCAACAAUGCUACAUGAUGGAUGGGCAUUUACACCUUCUAUAUUAACAAUAGACUAUGUCUGGUUGCUACAUAACUUGUAACCACUCUCGCUUGAAAUAUAAAAGUUAGAGAGGAUAUGCAAUACAUAUAACAUCACAAGUUAUAUAAGUAAGAUAGUUAUAUAUUGAGAUCAAUAUAAAAAUUAGAAAAAAUAAUUAAUUACUUUGAUGUCUCCAGAAUUAAUCUUUCCUAUUGUGCCUCCAUUAAGCAUCAGUCACUUACGAGACAUUGUUUUAGCUAAAUUGGUCCCAUAAUAAGUUGAGGAAUACCAAUACAUGUGACGUGACAAAGGAUGAACAAGACUAGUAGAAGGUAUCUAAUUCACUAUCUUGAUAUUUAAAAAGAUAUAAGAAGCUACAAUGACAAUGUCAAAGUUGAGAGUCAUGUUAUCUCACAACGCCCUCUCCCGUUAACCCAUAGUUAUUGAAGUCUGCAUAAAUAUGUUGAAGGGGUGGGAUAAUUAAAUUGUAUUAUGUCAUCAGGAAGGUUGGAUGCAUAAAUAGUGAGGUGUAAUGUAUGCUACUAAGGCUUCGCCAUUGGAUGAAUAUGUAAAGUUCUUUUCUUGAUUGAAUUUUGUUAUUCAAGAUUUUUGGUAAUUUUGGAUGAUGGGUUGCACAACCUAUCUAUGAGAAAGGUAGAAAGAUAACUCUGGAUACUUGCUCAAUCAUAAACAUGGCUAGCAUGGAGCAUAUGAGUGAGCGACUUAGAUUUUCAUGGUGCAGAAGCGAUGGAUGAAAACUAUUUGCACAAUUCAAAACUUAACAUCCAUAUUGCAGCGCCCCUCAUUUUCAGUUGCCUCUAAACUCUCAAGUCAUGGGAAUAAUUUAAUAAGGGGUGGGUAAAACAGAAGUUCGGCAUGACCCAUUGGUUGUAGCCCCGUGAAGCAUGGCAAACACCCGAUGCAUUUAAAUAAACACCAUAGCAGGUUUCAUUGUGAGAAAAACAUGACAAAUGUAUGAUGUACAUGACAUUUUUCACAAAAGGGAAGCAACAAAAAUGUGAGGAAGGAAAAUUAACCAAGGGCUGAGAACUUAUACUUCAUGCUUAAAUAUGCAAUGGAGAUUAUCAACCAAAAUGCAAUAGUGAUUUUGCUUUCAGAGUCAAAUGUUAGGAGCAGUUACUAUUUCAGUUGGAAUAUAACAACAAUGGCAACAUUUCUAGCAAUCCUUGGAUUGACGGUUCUUCCUGUUGGAACAUAAAUUAUCAAAAUGUUUGAGGAUAAGUUUGUGGAAUUUUCAUGCCUCGGUACAAGCAUGAAUUAUGACCUUUUCCCUUAGUGACCAACGGACCUGGUUUGCCUUGAAAUUUUUUGAUUGAUUCAUCCUCAUCAUUAUCUUUGUUGUAUAGUGGGUUUUGUGGUUAACAUAUAAUGAAUGGAGCCCAGUCGUUGUCAGGGGUGAAAUACCACAAGAACUCUGAUUCUCUCUUAAAUGUGUUUGAGGCACAACAACUUGAAACUGGCAUCUACAACUAGGAGUCAAGCAUUGUUUCAAUGUAGUCUGCUUGACUCAGCAUCAUUUCUACACAAUCCCAUGCUGUGACACCAUGUCUCCGGUUAUCCAUCACGCUCGAAGCAUGCUCGUUGGAAGAGGCUAGGAUGGGGUAAACCUGGCUAGCAUCACGUUGACAGAGGUUGUUCAAAGACUCAUUCGAGGUGAGGGACCAAAUGAAAGCGUUUCAACCAACUACGCAUCCCAUUGGGCCUCACGUUUAACUAACAUGAGGCCAAAAGCAUGCUCAUGCAUGAAUUGUAGGCGAUUUCUUGAAUGGACGAAACCAAUCAUAGAUGCAAAUGCAAUGAAAUUUCAAGUAAUUGAUCACCCGAUUUCCAUACCAAAAACAAUAGUUGUGUGGUAUGUGGUAAGGCCACAAUAUUGAUACCUGUUGCACUACUCGACAGUCACUAGAAAUAGCACUUAAUUAGAACCAAUAAUCGAACACAAGCUAGCCUAUUAGUAGUCAACUACUAAUAGUGAGUCGACCAAUCCAUAAGGAAGAACAAAUCAUAGGCUCAGCUCACUGAGAUACAACUCAAAGCACAUAAUGCGACAGACUACGCCCUCCUUUACGCCCUCCUCCUUGUUGGCGUUACAUGAGGAUCAUGAACACUUACGUCUCUUUCAGUCGAUAGGGGCUGACUCAAGUAGGACAUCACCAGGAGAUACUUCCACCAGUUGGUCGACUCAUUCGAGUACUCACACAGGCACGACGCCUACUACCAUAAGCUCAAGCCGCAAAACAUACUCGUCGAUGAGCUCGACAACCUCAUUGUGUCUGAUUUCAGACUCAUCAUCCUCUGAGAGUGCCAGAAACAGGAUAGAUGGUUGCACACCACCUGCCGAGAGUGCCAGACGGAGGAAUGACAAACAUUCGAAUAUCUCAUUUCCAGUUGCCUCUAAACUAUCAAAUCAUGCCAAUGACUUGAUUUUUUUCUAUGAGUAGGUGAAAUAGGAGCUAAGCAUGAUUGCAUAGGUCAAGCCUACAAGUAAUAUAAAAUACAAGGUUACGUGCCAUAGCAUGAUAUAUCAUCAUCACUACAGCAGCUACAGUCAUUUUCGGCAGCCUUUGCCACCGAAAAUAAGGCCUUUGUCGCCGAAACUAUUUUCGGGGCCUUAUUUUCGGCGGUCUCUAGUCGCCAGAAAAAAUUAGCCAAAAACAAGCUUUUAUUUUCGGCGGCCAGGUGACAGCCGCCGAAAAUAGCUUAUUUUCGGUGGCCGCCAUCAAAAAUAAAUGCUUAUUUUCGACAGUUGUCACCUGACCGCCGAAAAUGUGCCAUGAUUAUUUUCGGCGGCCACAAGUUGGCCACCGAAAAUUAACAAUUUCAGAGAAAAAAUUGAAAUAAAUGAAAUGCAAAAAACAGCAACUUCAGCAACAAUAUAAUCACAAAAAUAUGACAGAAACAAUAAUUUCAUAAUUGCACACAUUUAACACAAAGUAUUGUAAUUCUUCACAACCACAUUGAAGUUCACCAAAAUCAAGUUCACAGUUCACAAAUGGUUCACAGUUCACAAAUACAUUACAUAGUCCAUUACAACAUAAAACAAACUCACAAAUCAGCACAAGACUCAAACCAUCACAUAUCGGGGUCAUUGGAGUUGUGACCACUACCUCCAGAAGCGAACAACUCGUUGACGAAGUCGUACUGGUUUGGAUUCUAAGGAAAAAAAGAAGACAUAAUCUUUUCAUAAUUAUUUUUGCACACAUCAAUCUUUUCAUAAUCCAUACUGAGACCUUUUGAUAAUUAUCUUUGAAUGGUACAUGUCUUUAGGCAACUUAUUGGGAUUUGACAGCACAUCUCUUAAUAACUUUAAAAUCUCAUUGUAACAGUUGUUCGAGAAAAAAAUACUUGGACUUAAUGGUCAUAAGCCGGGUCACAAAAGUGAGUAUACUCACAUCUGUGUGUUCAUGCAACGACUGUUCAGAGUCUUUUAGUAGUUUAAAAAUCUGGAAACCUCUAGUGUGGCAGGAUCCUUGGAGCUUAGGUUUAACUCUGGACGUAGCGAAUCUAGCAUCUCAUGCAUCGCAUCAUCGUCAUCUCAAUCAUUGUUCUCCUCCUUUUCUACAUUCGGGUUGAGUACUACCUCACCAUGAUGUUCUCACACCUCAUAUCCGGGCAUAAAUCCAAACUGACAAAGAUCUAGGCUAACUCUUUCCUUAUUAAUGACAUAUUGUUUUCAUGCCGCCUACAAGGGUAGCUGACAGUGUUGGUUAAUGACAAGGAGAAUAUGUGGUCCACAAAAUCUUUGGACUUGGCUACCCAAUCAUCAGAAUGACGCUCAUUCCUACUUCAGCCAUUGUACAUCUAUACAUGAUCUUCAGCCAUGCUUGAGACUAUUAAACCGAACCAUAUCGUGAAAACAUUAUUCAACUUCGUCAAGGAUAUCGGUCCUACAUGUAUAGGCAAGGAUGGGUUCUAAACCCACAAGCUAACAGGACCCAAAAAAAAUCGGCAGCAUAACCUCGCUUCCACUAAACAAUAUAUUGUACUUAUAAAACUAAUAAUAUAAUAGUACCACAUAUUAAUAUAAAAUUAAUGUUACAAAUACAAUAUGCCUCUAAUCCCUAAACCAUAUAUACCACUAAUACAUUAAUGAAAUCGAACUAAACAAUAAUACUAAUCACACACACUAAUCAAACAAACAAAAUUACAAAUAUAUACUAAUUUCGGCGGCAAUUAAAUAACGGACGCCGAAAAUAUAUAAUAAAAUACGCAAAAAAAAUAACCUUGAUGGGAGCCGAGGUCGACGGGAGCUGAGGGUGACGGCAGACGACGGGACGGGGCAGAGUGCGGCGUGGCCGGCGGCGCGUCGAGGGCUUGGCGGCCGUCGGAGCGGCGGGGCGGGCGGCGCGUGGCAUGGGGCAGCGGCACGCGUCUCGGAGACGACGCGGGGAAGGGCGGCGGAGAGAAGACGCGCAGAGAGAAGAGAAGACGCGCGGGAGCAGUAGAUAGAGAGAAGAGAGGAACGAGCCAGAGGCGGAUUUUAAAACCUUAUUUUCGGCGACCUCUAACACAGUCAUCGAAAAUAAAAUGUAAUUUUCGGCGGCGGUAUCAGAGGCCGCCGAAAAUAGCCUUAUUUUUGGCAGCUGUGUUAGAGGCAGCCGAAAAUAAGCUUAUUUUCGGCAGCCACCUCCAGCCGCGCGAAAAUGGUUGUGCAUCACGAAAACAUUACGAGGACACCAUCUAUAUGAAUGAUGUGGUUCGCUAUCAUGGAAAGCCGAAUUAUAAGAACAUGAAAUUUUCACGGAUGAGAAGCAACACGUGAAGAAAUUUGAUUAACCAAAGACUAACAUUUUGGUUGAACGAGCAACUCGGGAAGCGUGGGAGCCAUUUGUGUGGAACGCCAUCAAUCAACUAGCAUUAAGAAAAUAGACAAAAAUAAAUCUCCAUAGCUUGCAAAUCAAUUCAUGUAACACUAAUAAUGCAUGAUAUAUAUGUAUGGAAACUACGGUUAUACUCAAGCUAUAUAGAUUAGCACACAAUUUGAAUUGUUUCUCUUACAUUAAAAUGGUUGUUUUAGAAUAUAAGCUCUCCACUGAUAUGGCAUCUAAGUUUGAAUUAUACCAUGGAGCAGUCCAUCAUCAAUUCAUGUUGCCGCGCACGGGCCAGUAAUUGUGGGACAUAAGAAAUAUACAUGACUAACCAAAAUUCCUUAACAUUGAUAUUUGCUUAGUUUAUAUUAAUUCUUACACGGUUAUCAUUUUAGAUUUUUUAAUCUUUAUCCGGUUGUGCUAGACUUUUAUUAUUCACUUUUCAAAUUCAUAGUUACCACCUCUGUGUCACACGGUCACACCUCUAUCUGUUUUUGACAUGUGUUUGGUGAAACUAUCUAUCGUAUAUCCAUAUCCUAACACAACACUUAUCUAUCUACUUAGUAAUUAUAAGAUUAUCUAUAUUCUUUUUCCCAUUUCAUGUAUUUUGCAUUUCGAAAGAACACUUGUAUAGUUAUCUUCUUCACAUUAUCUUAUCAUGAGAUACUUUGCUUAUCAAUUACUAGUAUAUUAUAUUUUCUUCACAAUUACAUCGUACUUUCAUAUUUUCUACAAAUCUAUAAUCUAUAAUGUGUCUUUGGGUCAUUUCUAUUUUGUUUUGUUGAUUAAAUAUUCAACACAUUAUUUUAGACUAACAUAAUCUUGUAUGAGCAUAAGCACAUAUAGUUAAAGCAAAUUGAGAAAAAGGCACUUUUAGGCUUGAAAAUGGGCAUACUAAAAAUCUAUAUGGUUCCAAGUGAAAAAUGAAUGCUUCUAGUACUUAGUCAAUUGUUUUAGGUACUAAUUAUAUUUGUCUAAGUGUUAGGGACUAUAUGAAGUCGAGCCAAAAAGAGCAAAGAAAUGUUGGCAUGAAAAAGAAGCAUUCGGUCUGCUCUGGGUAGCACCGGACAAUCCGGUGAUUGUCCGGCCGAACGGGUUGCUCUUGCGAAAAGCAGACUCCUUCGGCUAUAAUUCACCGGAUGGUCCGUGCGGAGCGCCGGACAAUCCAGUGUGUGAGCCGGCCAACGGCUACAAGACACGUGGUCGCUGCGCCCUGCUCCGCGCCGUUCUUUGUCCGCGCGGGUGGGCAAGCCAGCAGACGCGCCUGCUCCAUUUCACCGAGCACCCAGCCACUCUCGCCUCCUUUUGCUCUCGUCUCACUCUCUCACACCCACUCUCGCCCUCGCUUUCUUCUUCCACCCCGACGCCGCGUCGCCAUGGCCGAUGCGAGCUAAGGUCGUGGCCGCGCUUUCCCUCGUCCACCACCGUCCAAACCGAACACCGCCCUUGCUUCGCCGCCGAGCCAAGAACCCGGAGCCCCUCGCUUGAGCUCGGAGAAGCUCCGAGCACCGUCGUCGACGUCGCAGUUCUUCGCUUCCCGCCGGCGCGCGUGGACCGAGCGUCUCCGUCCACAACCUGUCGAGCCGAGGACGCCGUCGAGUUCACCGUCGACUGCUGAUACUCCCCGACCGUUGCCUCGUUCGCAUCGUCGUCGGUAAGCCGUCGACCAAGCGCGCCUCAUCUCCCUUCUCUCUCUCUGUUCUAAGGAAGACGAUGGAUGUAGUGCACAAAUAGAUCAAAGCCAAGGAGUUUUUUCGCAAACGGUCAUAGACUCAGUGGAAUAGUAUCCAAGGACUGUAACACCCAAAAUACCAUUUUGGUGGUCUGGUAAUACUCACCAAUCAAUCAAAGUAAAAAACAAUAAAUAUAAAAUAUAAUAACAAGACCAUAAAACAAAGGUAAAUAUAAUUGUUUUUGUUGAGUGAUUUUUUUGUUUCACAUUUGGGAGCAUUAAUCUAAACGAAUAGAAUCAUAAAUAAAUACAUCAAAACUUCUCUUUUCACCUCAUGUGGGGUUUUCUUGUUUGUUUCAUUCAUAUUUGAAUUUGCUAAUCGAAACCAUAUUUGAAUUUGAAAUUAGAAAGGAGAUUGAUAAAACCAGAAAAAAUAUAAAAGGAGAAACUUGCCCGAUGCCUAAGCUUGGGCCAGAACCUAUCCCGGCGGCCCACUCCAUAUCCCCUCUCUCGGCCUGGUUCCCUUCGAAGCAAUCCACGCGACCCAGGGAUCUCCCACAGCGCCGACUAGCGGGCCCCCUGCUAGUCUCACCCGUGCGCUCGCAUACCCCCUGCAACCGCUGGCAAUCGGGCCUGCUCGAACGGGUGCUUCGUGAGGCCUUGCUUUCGCCGCGCCGGGGGCCCAUGGUGUCAGGGGCGUCCUCUACAUCAGAACGCAAUAGACUGGGCGCCGGAUUUGGGUUGUUGCGUUGGCCGUGGAUCUCGCCAUUCAUGCGGACUCCGCCUAGGAGGAUCCUCAUCCCUGCCCAUUGCCUAUCCUCGCCCCACGUGCAUAUAAGCAGACCCCCCCCCAUUAGCCCUCCAAAACCAAAGCCGCGCACGGAGCCAUGGUCGCCCUACCAUUAUCGCAAACACAGAGAAAGAAAAGAGCACCGUCGCCGUUGUAGCCAAUCCCGCUCAUCCACCGUCGCUUCAACCUCGGCAUGGUGCAUCGCCCGUGGGUACAGCACCCAUCCAUGGUCUCGCCGUGCUUGGAUGGCAUGAAGCGUGACCGGAAUUUCUCGUCAGGGCAAGGAAAUCACCGCCGAUGCCGUGGACAGAGGCUUUGUGCCAUGGAUAGUCAUUGAGAGGACCUCCCAGAUGUUCGUCGGGCCGAGUAGAAGCUUUGGGUAACACCAAUUUGGCGGGUAUUGCUUCGGGGCUAAGCUGAUUGCUCAUCGAAAGCACACCGCUGCCUCCGAUCGACACCCUAGCGUGGCCAGUACCUUCCCUAUCGUCACCAUUGGUGAGUUUCCCCUCCACAUGGUCACCAACUCACCAUCAUCCCCACUCUGUGUAGCUUCUAUUGGAUAGGCAAAUGACUCUCAUGUGCGCAAACGGGUGUGGCUCCGGCGAGCCCGCCACCACCUUCGCUUGGACCUUCGCUUGGAUCAUGAACAUCGAUCCGGAAUCGUGGGGCUUUCAUUGUAUACCGAUUUGAUGAGGGCUGCGACUAAUCCGGGCCGCCGGAUCAUGAUCAGGUGGCUGGGCAACAAACAGAUCCUUUUCGGCUAGCCUAUUUCACAUACGAGCCCCUGUGCUUUGGUGAAUUAAACCCGUGGUCUAGCCUUAGUCCAAAAUUAAUUGCGCAGAGGUCCUUUUCUUCGCAAAUUCAACCCUGAGCUUUUAUCUAAUAGUGGUCGCGGUCCAAACACCUUUGGUUAUGGAUAAAAUUAAUUCGAAAAUAAUUUUUAAUGCAAAAGUAAUUCCAAAAUCUUAGAAAAAGCAUAACUAAUUCUUUUUAGCUCCGAUUCAAUCCGUUCCAAUUGCAUUAGAUUCAUUAUAAUAUUGUCCAAACAGUAUAGUACUAAUUUACAUCAUAUUCUCCACUUUUAUAAUUGGAUAAUAAUUUAACCUAUGUUUAAAUAGAUUAAUCAUUUUUUAUUAAAAACUAAGUAUGAUUUUUUAACUUGGUUUUGAUUCAAUAGUAACUUAGAUUAUGGUGGAACUAUUUUCUAAUAAAUAUCUCCCCAUGGGAAUCACAUUAAUUAACAAAGAAUAUGUAUAUUACCACUAUUUAGCCUCACAAAACUUGGGAAAUCAUAUAUUUAUAACCGUAACUCCGAAUUUAGUGGUUCUCGAACCAGCGAUCUCGUUACAACGCGUAGAAUAUUAAUAUGUAGUUUGUGCUUAUGUUUGGUCUGAUGUUAAUUUUGCCUAUAUCAUGUUUGUUUGUAUUGCUACGAAUAGCAGUGAGGUCACGAGAAUUUGAAGAUCAUCCUGGUACCUAGAAUCUCGAGUCCCAGGCAAGUUAUGCCCUUGAUCACUCCUUUUUAGCUAAUAAUGUCUGCUGUUAAUCACUGUUACAUGCUCAAGUUAAUUUGAUGGGACCUAAUAGGUUUCCCUAGCAUUGUUUAUUCCCCACCUUGCAAACAGAUGACCUAUUGGGUAGAUUUGCUAUUGCUCUAUCUGGUUUUGGGAAACUAAUGUUUUAUUAUGAUCAUGUUCCAAUUAUGUUGUUUAAUUAUUGUUCAUGAUAAGAUCAUAUUGUUAAUUGGAACAUGGAGCGACCACUCGGUAAAACAGUGUUACCACAAGGAUGGUAUGGGACUGUAACACCCUGAAUUUGGGGGUAUAAAUUUUUUUUCUAAUAUCCACCAAAUUCAGGUGUUACCCUCUUACUUUCCUUCUUUUCUACUCUUUUUCUAAAUAGUGGAGAGUCAUUUUGUUUCAUAUAUGUGUAAGCCUAGUAAGAAUAGAACCCUAAAAGAGUCCUUGAUUAUUGCAUAACAUGCCGAGACAUUUUAUUGUAUGGUCAAUUGUUGUGGUGGUGCAUCCAUUCAAACUCAUGAAGUACAUUUGAAUUUUGGAUUCAAAAGCUAUAUCUAAAUUUGAAUACAAAUAGGUAAAAGAAUGUGGGAAGAAAAUAGAAACAAAAAGGCCCAGCUCGCCCCUUUUCUUUUUUCCCCGCGAGCCGACCCACCAGAUCCACUUCCUUUCCCGCGACCCAGCUCGCACUCUCCUCUGCUCGCGCUAGCCAGCCCAGGCACAGCCGUGGCCCAUCUCCUCUUAUCGGCCCAGCCCCUCACCUCGGCCUGCUCCGCGUUCCCCCUAGCCCUCCCACGUCCAGGCGCAACCACCUGCGUUGCUGGCCAGCCUGGCAGCCACAUGGCCGGCCCCAUGCAGCCACGUCCUACGCAUGUAGUCUCUAUUUUUUCCUUCUCCAAACCGCCAAGGUCGAGGCGUCAAGCUGCACGCACCCACGAUGUAUGCUUUCGUCUCCCUCGCGCUCGGAUCCACGGAGCGUUUUGACGGUUCGGCCGCCGGCCGGUGAGCCACCAUCGUGCUCGCCCUCGUGGCGCUCGGCCUCGUCGUGCCUGCUGCGAUCGUGCAGCAGCAGCCAGCAGGCAAGCCAGAGCCGCCGCUGCGGAGCCUGCGCUCGGAGCUCCGCCUGCACCAAGCUCAUCCCGCCGUCGCCGAUCAUCGUGAGCAGGCGAGUAUUUCCUUCUCCCUCCCUCCACCCGACGCCCAACCGCCUCCUUGGUCCCUGCCCACUCGGCCAAGCGGCAAGGUCGGCCAGAGGCCAUGGUGAGGGUGAGGCCCCGACGCAGCGGCCAGGGCAGAGCCCCCUGCGCGUCGGACCUAGUGUGCCUAGCCAGCCCAGCCCCCUUGCCGGUGAGCCGCCGGCAGCCGGCUCGGCCCCUACCCCCGCAUGUCUAUGGCGUGGCAUGAACCUCCGACCUCUCCAUCCUUGCGUGCGUACUGUAGUACGGGAAGAAGAAGCUAGCCUCAUGUGAUCCUAAACUUGGACCUUCUAUGGCUGCGUUUCGUGUGACCAUAGGUGUGGCUAGCCUAUAGCGAAUAAUAAUUAGCCACGUCACUUAAAAUUCGUGAAGUACUAAAUAUUUAAUAUAUGUUGCGUUAUAAAUCUGGUUCCCUUCGUUCAACUUACAUUAGCUUCGUAAUAAUUUCACCACUGAGUCAAUAAAGUUAUUUUAUCGUGACGUGUGUUUUAUCUAAUUAAUUAAUUGUUUGUUUGUUUAUCCAAUGCCUAUUAAAGUAGUGAUCCAAUUAAAACUAAUAUAUAGUUUUAAAUUUGCACAAGUAUAAUUGGACGUUAGCAUGAUUUAUGCCAAAUUAAAUGUCUAUAUUAAUUGGUUUAAUAUAUGUUCAUUCUAAACACGACAUUUGUUAAUGACUUCUUGCUUGUCGCAUUGUUCGCGCAUGUCGUGCGUCGAUGUUUGCUCAUCACACGUGUUGUUUGCGCGUCAUCGCGUUGAUUCGCGUGUGUCGCGCGAUGUCGUGCGCGUUGUUUCGCGAACCGCGGUGCUGUUUCACGUGCGUCAUCGCGUGUCGUUCGCGUUGUCGCGCGCCUUUUGCACGCGUUGUCGCGCGUGUUGGCGUGUCAUUCGCGUGCUGUUGCGCGUCAUCAUCAUUUCUUCGCGUGUUCGUGCCACGCGUCUGGUUCGCGUGUCGCGCGUAUCUCGCGUGUCGAUCACGUGUAUCGUGCGGCAUCUGCGCGUGAUAAUAAAUUGUUUUCAUUUAUAAACACUCAUGUUAAUAAUGUUAUUUCAUCAGGUCACAUAUUUUAAAUAAUUAACUUAAGGUUUGCUCGACUAAUAUUUAUUAGAUUAACAUUCCAAUUAGAUUAAAUGUGUAGUAUUCAACUUCCGCUUUUAUAAGAAACAUUAACAUGGCUAAUAUUAACUUAACUACUUUUUAUUUAUUUAGUAUUUGUUUAGUAUAAACGCGUCACGUAUUUAGUUUUUCUCGUCUGUCGUACGUGAUGUUUCGCACGUGGUGCCAUGCUGGUUCGCGCUGGCCGCGUGCACUAUUUCGUGUAUCAUCAGUGUGCUAUGUCGCGCGUGUCCGUGCUUCGGUUGCACGCUAUCAUGCUGUUUCGCGUGUCGCUCGUUGCUUGCACGUGUCGUGCGCUGUCCGCACGCGAUAUUAAACCAUUCGAAUAUAAUCACUGAUGUCCAUUAAUUAACUAUUUAUUUAAUCGUCCACUAUUAAAAUAGUAAGUUAGUCAAAGCUAAGUAGUAGUUUUAAUUUAUAUUUGAUAUGAUAAUGUCAAUUCAUGUAAUUAUAAUUAUGCUGAACUAAUAUUCUAUUUAAUAUUUGUUUAGCGUAAACCUGUUAACUUCUCGACCAUAGCUCCGACUAUCGCGUUUCUUUUUCCUCGCGUGACCGUAGUAGUGCGCUCUUUUUCGUUUUACAUGUUUUAUUAUAUUUUUCUUUGAAUGGUGUAAUGUUCAUAUAUAUAUAUAUUUGUUUUCUUGUGACUGUUCGUCUUCGCUUCGCGUUGCGAUUAGAUCGCGAUUCGUUUCCGAGCUUCGAGGAAUCGACGGUCAAGCGUUGGCGACCAAGUGAUCUGGUUCUUCGAGUUCUACGAGACUGAAUAUCCUGAGCAUCUGUUUGGUGAAGGAAAGUGUCCUCUGACCUAUUAUGUCCUACAUACUUAUAAUUCACCGUCCUGCAUUACAUUACUGAAACCUAAGGAUGGACUAGUCUGUAUUUACUUAUCCUUGCUUACCUUUUGGGUAAUCUUGGUUAGCUUUAUGCUAUUAUUUUAUUUUAAUCAAUGAACAUGAUGUGAAUAUUUAUGAUACGAUGAUGUUAUCCCGAUUAUGUUCUUGUGAUACUUUAGGGUACUCGGGCCAUUUUCCUGAGUACCUCUCAGUAAGGACCUGUUUGUGGAGCGACACCCGGGAUAACAGUGCAACCAUGAGAGUGGAAUAGGACACCCUUAGCUGAUUAAUUAGAGCAACCAGAGGAGUAGUUGGCUUCGCCAUAGGGCCGUCAAUGGGGUCCGGGCGCGUACAAUACUUGCUCUGCCGAGGCUGGUUGCAGAGGUUCUUGAUUUGGUUUUGUUAGCCACCCUUCUUUUGGGGAGAGGUACUGUGUUUAUCAAACUGGAGAAACCUAACGGGUGGCUAUGUCCUCUGGGAAAUCUUUGUAAAGGCUACGUAGUGAGACCCUGCUAAGUCACCUUGGUAGUGAUCAAUGGAGAGUCAUGAUCUCCGGGCAGAACGGGAAUCACGACUUGUGGGUAAAGUGUGUGACCUCUGCAGAGGAUUAGAAAUUGAUAUAUCAGUCGUGCUCACGUUUAUGAGCGGCCUUGGGAUCCUCUUUGAUUAGAGAUACAGAUUACCUGAGAUACAACGAUUCUAUUGAUGGUUUUGGUUACGAUGAUGAUAUGAUGUUCCUCGAUGAGGAAAUGAUUCACGUGUUGGUUAUUGCUAAAAUUUGGCUUCCACUAAUAAUAAAUACCUGACCAAUUAAAAGCAACUACUUGAGCUUAACCCACAUAAAGCUAGUCCACCUCAGCCAAACGGGACAUUUGCUGAGUACGUUGAUGUGUACUCACCCUUGCUUUGACAAAACACCAAGUUGCCUUUGGUGCAAUCUAUGCUUAGGUAAAGAAGAAGGCGUCGAGGCAGAUCUCCAGGAGUUCCAGGACAUCGAUGAGUUCGAGGAUUAGGCUAGCGACCUCCCCAGUCAGCUGCCUCUAGCGGGUUAAUUUAUGUUGGCUAUGUUUCGAUUCUAUGUACUUUGAUUUAUAUUAUUACUUAUUAUUUAUUGUUAUUCGAAGCAUUGUGCUAUGAUGAUUCAUUUAUGUAAUCGUUGUGUACGUGAGUUUCUGAUCCUAGCACGUACAUGGUUCGCAUUUGGUUUACCUUCCAAAACCGGCUGUGCAGGGACGCCCUUGGUUGACUAAUUAGGAAAUCUAGUGGAGGACUACCUUACUCGAAAGGGGCAAGGGCAGUAGGGGAGUGGUCGGUAUAGGGACGUUCUUGGGCUGAUUUUGUUGCGAUGGCUUUUCGGACGGGGGAUUCCUAUGUUGCGCUUCCUAGAAACUGUAGCAGGUUUUCUGAAGCUAGUGGAACUUUGUAAAGGCCUCGUAGUGGUACCCUUCCUCGCUUCCUUGGUAGAGGUGUAUGGGGUCUGAUCAACUCCAUGGCAAAUGGGUAACACGACUUGUGGGUAAAGAUGUGCAACCUCUAUAGAGUGUAAAACUGGUAUAUCAGCCAUGCUCAUGGUCACGAGUGGCUCGGACCCUCACAUGAUUAACUUAUGGAAUUAAACUCAAUUUGUCAUAUGCAUUGCAUCGCGGGUGUUGUUAUUAAUAUUGAUCUCUUAUUUAAUUGGGUUGGUAUCUACUUAUACCUAGUAACUGUUAAUAAAUUUUUGACCAACGUUAAAAGCAAUGCUCAGCUUAAACCAUCCUCUUUGGUAAGCCUUACACUUCAUAUGAGCUCCCACCUUUGGUGAGUUCAGGCACAUUAUUUCCCACAACUUGUUGAACGAUGAACAUUGUGAGCUCACCAUUGUUGUACUCACAUCCCCCCAGGUCAAGAAAAGGUACCCCAGGAUGAGGAGCAUGGAGGAUGGCUCGAUGUGUUCGUGAGAGGUCUAGGUCUUCGUCUCCCUGUCAACUUUGGGUUGUUGGAUCAUUGUCUUCAUAUGAUGUAAUUAUUUAAUUAUUUUGUACAGAACUUUGUUAUAUAAAUGAUGUGACAUUCAUUUCUGUACCAUGAGUCAUCAUAUGUGUGAGACUUGAUCAUAGCACACUUGGUGAUUAUUCCACGCCCGGGUCUUGGUGCCCCCGAAACCCGGGUGUAACAAGGACCUAGGAGUAGGAUUCGUAUUUCAC